ensembl:lncRNA
CGCGACAUCUCGGCUUGGGCAGCUGCCGAGAGCCACUCUCUGCUGCUCGGGAUGCUGAGAGGAAGGAGAGCGGGAUCUGGCCUUACAAACAUCAGUAUCGCCGCCAGCCCCCGCCGACAGGCCUGACUUCACCAGUCUCCUCGCCGCCUCCCUGCCAACAACGCUCCGUCCCUAUCUUCGGCCAACGCGAGCGACUUCCGGCGCAGGGAAGUGCGUCAUCAACACACCGGAAGUAAACGUCAUCACCCGGCGCCAGCCACACACGCCGUGAAGGCCUGAGCUUUAGACGCUGGUUCGCGCAGGUUGGGAAAGAGCCGCUGUUGGCACCAAGGUCGCCUCUCCUCCGCGCCACCAUGCAGGUCUCCAACCUCAACGAGGUGAAGAUUUACAGUCUCAGCUGCGGCAAGUCCCUUCCUGAGUGGCUUUCAGACAGGAAGAAGAGAGCGUUGCAGAAGAAAGAUGUCGACGUCCGCAGGAGGAUCGAGCUCAUCCAGGACUUUGAGAUGCCAACCGUCUGCACCACGAUGCAGGUGUCCAAAGACGGGCAGUACAUCCUCGCCACUGGUAGGUGUUUUCCAGCUACUGUGUACAUGCACUUCCUAGCAGGGACUGUGGCGGUGGCUGGGGUCACUUUCUGUCACCUUGACUUUUCUUUUUGGUUGAUUUUUGUUUGUUUGUUUGUUUGUUUUGGGGGGGUUUUGGGUUGAUUUUUGAGACAGAAUCUAUCUAGCUCAGGCUGGCCUUAAACUCCCUGUGUAGCCCAGGCUGGCCUCAAACUCAUGGUGAUCCUCCUGCCUCAGCCUCUUUGUGCUGGUAACACAGGCGUUUGCCACCACACCUGGCUCACCUUUGCUGUUCUGAUGGACAAAAACUAUUUCACUGUUUUAAUCUACUCUUGUUAGGUUGUUUGUGGAGCUUCUCAGUCCUUUGUUUCCCGAUGCCUCUCUCAUCCUUUGCUCAUUUCCCAUGGGAUGUUUGGGAGGAGCUGCUUUUCAGUCCUUUCUGUAGAUUAGGACAUAGCCAAACCUGCCUGCUUCUGAAUGGAAACCACACUCAGCACUCUGCAGGGUGUUGACCAUGAAAAGUGUGUCCUUGGGUUUUACAUGACAUUCUUUUUUUUAUAGGAACAUACAAACCCUCGGGUUCGAUGUUAUGACACCUACCAGUUAUCCUUGAAGUUUGAAAGGUGUUUAGAUUCAGAAGUUGUCACCUUUGAAAUUUUAUCUGAUGAUUAUUCAAAGAUUGUCUUCUUGCAUAACGACCGGUAUAUUGAAUUUCACUCACAAUCAGGUUUUUAUUACAAAACCAGAAUACCCAAGUUUGGAAGGGAUUUCUCCUACCACUACCCGUCCUGCGACCUGUACUUUGUCGGGUGCGAGGUAUUGGGGCCAAAACUCUUUGCUUCCUUUUUUCCUCCUCCCAAAUAACCGCUUUCUCUUCCUAAAUUUCUUGUGCAUUUUAUUUAUCUGUUUAGUUAGCCUUGAUAAAGUUUAUGUGGUUACUGCAAAAAAAGAACAACAAAAAAAAGUCUUAGAAAACAAGGGAUAAACAGCAACAACAAAAAACCCCAGUGCUCUACAUAUUAAUGCAUUUGAUUUACAAGUGGCUUCCUGAUAUUUUAACACCUGUUAUACUGCCUACUAAAAUAUGUUCUAACAUUAAAAAUAUUUAUAAUAAUUACAUGUCACAGUAGUUAAUUAAACUCUGGGAAUACUGAUAGGAAAUACAUAAGCCUGUUGAAUAUAUCUCAAAUGCUUCACUGUGUGAGAUUGUAUUGUUUUUCUUUUUCUUUUGUACAUUUCUGUUUAUGUCUCCAAAGUUGUAGUUUCUGCUUUAGGUUUGUUCAGUAUCAGUGAUAAUUUUGUUUUGUUUUUGUUUUUUGAGACAGGGUCUUGGUGUGUAGCCCAAGCUGGCCUCGAAUUUGCAGUGAUCCUCCUGCCUCAGCCUCCUCAGUGCUGGGAUUACAGAUGUGUGCCACCACACCUAGCCUCAGUGAGGAGUUUCUGUCUGGGUCAUCUUGUGAUGAAGGGACUGUAGUUGGAGGACAUUUGGGCCAGGUGCUGAGAAUAGUCCUGAGAUCAUGAAGGCGGUGGUAAUGGAUCACGUGGCUCAUGUGUCAUGGCGUUUCAUUAUGGAGACCGGUGACCAUUUAACUUAAAAGGUUAAUGCAAACAUAGCCUCAUAUUGGUCUCGCCACAUAGUUGCUGAUCACUACUUGGAGUAUUUCAGUGGAACUAUUUCAAGUAGAAUAGGCCUGAGGCUCUAAUUCCAGCUACUUAGGAGGCUGAGACAGGAGGAUUGCAAAUUGGAGGCCAGCCUGGGCAACUUAGGAAGACCUUGUCUCAAAACAUAAAAGAGGGCUGGGGAUGUAGCUCCAUGACAAAACACCCCAGAGUUCUCUCAGUACCACAAAAAAAUGAGCAGACCGAUUAACAAAAACCAAAAGUGAAAAGAAAUUUUUUGAGAGGACCCUAAAAAACAUGAGACCUUUUUCCUGCCUUGGAGUUGCCUCGGGUUGUAGUGCGAAUUGCUCAGGGCUCACCCUUCCUGUCUGCUGGGGCGGAGAGAGGAGCCCGCUGGGGAGCUGCCCAGGAAGGGUGUGGAGGGUGAACUGCUGGGGAAGCCACUUUCUUGGCUCUGUCUCGUGGGAUUCCAGAACUUUAUUCUUUUUUUUAAAUACAUUUUAUUUUAUCCUGUUCCCCCCUUCAAGCCCCCUCCCGUCCCUAUGUACAGAAGCUUUGUUUCCAUUUUUUCCUUCUAUUUUCACUUUUUUCUUGUCUCUUUCCUCCCUCCCUCCCUUCUUCUUCUUUCCGUUUGAACACUUUCUUCCCAUUUCCCAACAUCCAUUAUACAUCUCAGUCCUUAUUUCCACAUUCAGUUUCUCACACCAGAGAAACAAUGUGGUAUUUAAACAUGUGUGUCCAACUUAUUUCACUUAAGAGUAUGGUCUCAAGGUGUAUCCAUUUAGAUAUAAAUGUCUGAAUCUCAUCCUUUAUGGCUGAGUAGUACUCCAUUGUAUAAAAAAAAAACCACAUCUUUAUCCACUUGUCAGUUGAUGGGCAUUGGGGCUGUUUCCAAGAUUUAGCUAUUACAAAUUGUGCUGCUACAAACAUGGGUGUGCAUAUAUCGCUGUGGCAUGAUGCUUUUAAUUCUUUGGGGAAGAUACCAAGAAGAGACAUAGCUGGGUCUAAUGGGACUUCCAGUCCUAGUUCUUUGGGGUGUCUCCAUACUGAUUUCCACAGUGGUUGCACCAGUCUACACUCCCACCAGCAGGAGAGAAGGAUUCCUUUUCUCCACAACCCCUCCAGCAUUUGUUAUUGGUUGAUUUCUUGAUAGCAGCCAUUCUUUGUGGGGUGAGGUGGAAUCGUAGCAUUGUUUUAAUUUGCAUCUCUCAAAUGACCAGUGAUGUUGAACAUUUUUUCAUAUAUUUAUUUACCAUUUCUAAUUCUUUAUCUGAGAAGUAUCUUUAUUUCAGAUGCCCAUUUUUGCUAUGGGUCUUUAAAUUUGAGGGAUCUGAUUUUUUUUAGGGUUUUUUUGGUACUGGGGAUCAAACUCAGGACCUUGCACUUGCGAGACAGGUGGCAGAACCACUGAGCUAAAUCCCCAGCCCUUGAGUUCUUUAUAUAUUCUAGAUAGUAGUCCUUUAUCUGAAUAGCUGGUAAAAUUUUUUCCUGCAUUGUGGGCUGUCUCUUCACACCGUUGGUGGUUUCUCUUUCUGUGCAAAAGCUUUUUAAUAAGAUGAGGUCCUAAUUGUUCAUAAAGUCUUUGCCUACUCCUAUGUCCUCAACUGCAGAACUUUGUUCUUUUUUUUUUUUUUUUUGGUACCAGGGAUCGAACUUGGGUCCUUGCAUUUGUGAGGCAGGCCUCGGAACCGCUGAGCUAAAUCUCCAGCCCCAGAACUUUAUUCUUAAGUGCUGCCUUUUUAUGAAUAUAAAAAUUAUGUGUUAUUUAUUUUAGAAAAUUGGGAAAAUACAGAAAAGUUUGAAAAAAUCUUGCUGUAUGGUUAUGCCACCCCAAAGAAACUGUGUUAGUAUUUUAUUGUGUUGCUUUUUAGUCUUUUGUUCAAUUUUUUUUUCUUGAACUGGGGAUCGAACUCGGGACCUUGUGCUUGAGAGGCAAGUGGUGGCACUACUGAGCUAAAUCUCUGGCCUUAGUCUUAUGUUCGUAUUAGAUACUUUAGGUACUUUUGGAUGUUCAGUCUCCUUAGUGACGUCCUAAUCUUUCCUUGGUGGUUUAACUCUUUUACAUGGCAAUUCCUAAAUGAGGUGAAUAUAGGUUUAGAACAGAUUUUUUUAUCAGUUUUACCAAAGAAGGUAAAUUGUGAGUGAUAUAUAUAAUUAUGAAAUUUAUAUUUACGAAACUUCUGUGUGCUUACAAGUUGAUCACCGUUCCCCAGGCAUUUAGCUUGCUUUGUUAUUUUGCAGUUCUGAAGUUUACAGAUUAAACCUGGAACAAGGCCGUUACCUGAACCCCUUGCAGACAGAUGCCGCGGAGAACAACGUCUGUGACAUAAAUUCCAUGCACGGCUUAUUUGCCACAGGAACAAUAGAGGGUCGAGUGGAGUGCUGGGACCCUAGAGCCCGGAGCAGAGUCGGUCUGCUGGACUGUGCCCUAAACAGCGUCACAGUGGACUCAGAGGUCAGCAGCCUGCCGACCAUCUCUGCCCUGCGGUUCAGUGGUGCCCUCACCAUGGCAGUGGGCACGUCCACCGGGCAGGUUUUAUUAUAUGACCUUCGAUCCAGUAAGCCACUGCUAGUUAAGGAUCACCAGUAUGGGCUGCCCAUCAAGUCCAUCCACUUCCAGGGACGCUUUAGAUUUGAUUCUGUCAGCAGACUCUCGCAUCAUCAAAAUGUGGAAUAAGAACUCAGGGAAAAUAUUUACCUCCUUGGAGCCAGAACAUGACCUCAAUGACGUCUGCCUGUACCCCGGCUCAGGAAUGCUCCUCACUGCCAACGAGGCCCCCAAGAUGGGCAUCUAUUACGUCCCGGUCCUGGGCCCCGCGCCUCGAUGGUGCUCUUUCCUGGACAGCCUGACAGAAGAAUUAGAGGAAAAUCCAGAGAGCACGGUCUCACGACGAUUACAAAUUCGUCACCAAGAAAGACCUUGAAAAUUUAGGGCUCAUGCAUCUCAUCGGCUCGCCCUUCCUGCGGGCGUACAUGCAUGGGUUUUUCAUGGACAUAAGGCUCUAUCACAAGGUGAAACUGAUGGUCAACCCAUUUGCUUAUGAAGAGUACAGGAAAGAUAAAAUUCGACAGAAGAUAGAAGAGGCGCGGGCACAGCGCGUCCAGUUAAAGAAGUUGCCAAAAGUUAACAAAGAGCUGGCUCUCAAAUUAAUGGAGGAAGAAGAAGAGAAGCAGAAGUCUACAUGGAAAAGGAAAGCAAAGAGCCUUCCUAAUAUUCUCACUGAUGAUCGAUUUAAAGUUAUGUUUGAGAAUCCUGACUUCCAAGUAGAUGAAGAAAGUGAAGAAUUCAGGCUUUUGAAUCCACUUGUUUCAAAAAAUUAGUGAGAAAAGGAAGAAGAAACUAAGACUCUUAGAGCAACAAGAACUUCAGAGAAAAAGUAACGUGCUCUUUGUCAUUUAGAAUUUGUUACUGUUUCUUUAAUAGUCAAAAAUGUGAAUCAGAAAACCUCUGCUUAGACUUGAGAUGUAUUCAAUUUCCUCCUACUUGUUUGACGCUUGCGGUGUGAUCGAAAAGUAUGGUGAAUGUUUAAAUUUUUUUUUUUUUUUUUUUUUUAAAUUUAUUGCAGUAAAAGCCUUACUGCCGUGAAUCCCCUCAGAAUCCCUCCCUUCACUUUAAACACAUUCAUCCCAUUGUCCUUGUCACUUUCUGCACCAGCUCUGGAGUCCUCUUUCCUGAGGGUCUUCAGCUGCACUGUCCUGGCUGCCUCCAUGUCCUGAAUGGAUUCAAAAUCUUUUCCUUUCAUGGUCAUUUUGACUUUAGGGAAGAGCCAGAAAUGGCACAGCGCAAAUUGGUGAAUAAGGUGGAUGAGGACACAGUGUCAUGUGUUUGACAGAAAUUACAGUAAAUGUUCGAUAGCAAGGGGUGAUCAAAAAAUACAAUGAGUGAUUAAAUUUUAAAAUUCGUGGGCCAAAGAUUUAGCUCAGUGGCACCAUGCCUGCCUCACAAGCGCAAGGUCCUGAGUUCGAUCCCCGGUAUCAGAGAAAAAAAAAAAAGACUCCAGUUCUAAAAUUCAUUACAGUAAAAGACACAUUGCCGGAAAUCAUCCUCAAAAUUGUCUCUCUUGCUACAAACACACUUAUCCCAUGGCUCUCAGCAACGUGUCCUUUACUGAAAUAGGGUUUUGUAGUUUCAGCCUUCCUGUAGUUGCAGUCACCCUGCUUACCACAGGAGUCUCUUCAGUGCCGGUUGGGCACAGCAGCUUAGUCUCCCACCUGGUGCUCUGGAAAUAAAAUGAUGGUCAGGGGCCCACUCCCUCCCCAAUUCCAGGAGGAGGAAGAGGAGCCGGAAGGCAGGCCAAGCGACUCGGAGAGCUCUGACAGCUCGGAGGAUGAGAAGGACUGGGUGGCCGAGGUCCGAAGCAGCGCCGACUGUUGCAGCAGGAGGAAAAGGUGCGACGGCAGGAGCAGUGCCGAGAGGACCAGCAGGCAGUCCUGAAGCCCCAGUUCUACGAGAUCAAGGCCGGGGAGGAGUUCCGAAGCUUCCGGGAGUCUGCCUCCAAGCAGAAGCUGAUGAACAAAACCCUUGAGGAUCGGUUGAAACUUGAAGCAAAAAAUGGCACAUUGGCGUCGGCAGCCGACCACACUCGUGGGCAGCAAGCAGCUGAGCGUCACACACUGAAGAAGUCCGAGCAGCAGAAGAAGCAGCAGGAGGCGGAGAAGCUACACCGGCUGGAGAGGAGGCAGCUGGCGCCGCCUCCGCUGGCCACUUGCGCUCGAGGCCCAGGAGGGGCCGGUUCUUCUGAGCGCCCUCAUGGGCCAGGAGGGUGAUGCGAAGACAAGGUCUCUCUUUGUCCGUGUGGCCCAGGCUGGCCUUGAACUCUCGGCCAUCCUCCUGUCUCGGCCUCCUGAGUAUUGGGAUGACAGGUGAGUGCCACCGAGCCCAGCUCUGCAUUGCCUCUUGUUUGUGGUCUCUGCAGCUCUUGCCUUCACCCACUUGGUGUCUGGGGCUCUGAAGCCUUUCAUCCUCUCCCUUGCACAAUGUCACCUUUCUCCACGGCUCCAGAGCCGCCUAUGAGACUCGUGGCCCACUGUCACCUUGAGUUGAAAAUGCUCAGCAGAAAAGCGGUCCAGCCCAUCCACCCACCCAGAUGACCUCAUCCUUGUCGUCCCUCUUCCUCCUGGAGGGCAGGAUCGAACUCAGGACCUUGUGCUUGUGAAGCAGGCGAGGUGUCACUGAGCUACAUCCCUGGCCUCCAUCAUUCCUUUUGUCAGCCUGUUGUUUUCACAAACUAAUUGGAGGGAUUUUUGAAAUAUUUUUAAUAAAUGUACUUAAAAUCCACUGAUUCUCCUCAUUGGCAUGAUUUUAGGUUAAAUGUGGUCAAAUUAUAUAGUGAAUGUUUAAAUUCUAAAUGCAUUGCAGUAAAAGACACAUUGCCACGAAUCCCCCUCAAAACCUCCUCCUCUCUUCAGAACACACUCAUCCCAUCAUCCUUGCUGCUGCUCUGGAGCCCUCUUUCCUGAGGGUCUUU